ensembl:lncRNA
GUGCGGUGUGAGAGGAAUUGGGUUGGAGCGGCAUCUUUUAAUUUUUUUCUGAGCGUUUGUUGCACAAAACGUGGAAAUACAGUUAUGUGUGUGUAUAUAGAACGCUCUCCUUCUGUGCCCAGUGUGUGCUGCUCCCUGUGCUGUGUGACCCUCAUUGAGUUAUCCUUACCCACUGUGUGGGGAAAAGGCAACUCCUCAGGUCCAAGCACUGCCCCUUCAAUCAGUCUGAGGUUUCUGAUAUUAGAGCCCUGCUCAAGAGUGUAUGAAAAAUAAAGAGCAGUUGAAAGCAAGAACAAUAAUUGGUGAUCUGGGCAUAGGGAUCGAGUGCACCCUCAGUAAGUUUGCAGGUGACACCGAGCUGGGAGGAAGUGUUGAUCUGAGGGUUGGAAGGCCCUACAGAGCGACCUGGACAGGAUGAAUUGCUGGGCUGAGGCCAGUGGGAUGAGCUUUAACAAGACCAAGUGCCGCGUUUUGGUUACAAAAACCACGCGCUUGGGGUAGAGUGGCUGGAAAACUGUGUGCUGGAAAAGGACCUAGGGAUGUUAGUCAACAGCCAGCUGAACGUGAGCCAGCAGUGUGCCGGGGUGACCAAGAAGGCCAAUGCCAUUGUGACUUGUAUCAGAAAGAGUACAGCCAGCAAGAGCAGGGAGGUGAUGGUCCACCUGUAUUCACCUCUAGUGAAGCUGCAUCUUGAGUAAUGAGUUCACUUUUGGGCCCCUCACUACAAGAAAGACAUUGAGAAAGGCAACAAUGUUGUGAAGGAUCUGGAGCACAAGUCUUAAACAGACAAGCUGAGGAAGUAGGAUUGUUUAGUCUGGAGGGGAGGAGAGAGCUCAAGAGAGACCUAAUGAUUCUCUACCUUAUAGAAAGUUGUGGUGAGGUGGGGAUCAACCUCUUCUCCCAGGUAAUCAGUGUUAGGACAAGAUGUAUUGGCCUCAAUUUGUGCUAGGGGAAGUUCAGGUUGGACAUUAGGAAAAAAUUCUUCUUGGAAAGAGUGGUCAAGCAUUGGAACAGGCUGUCCACAGAGGUGGUGGAGUCAGUAUCCUUGAAAGUGUUCAAGAAAUGUGUAGGUGUGGUGCUGAGGGACAUGGUUAGUGGGCAUGGUGGGGAUGAGUUGACAGUUGGACUAGAUGAUCUUAGUGCUCUUCCCCAACCUUAAUGAUUCUGUUAUUCUAAGAU